UCACAAUUUUUUUUAAAAAUAUUUUAUUAAUAAAAUAAAUAUAAAAAUACAGAAAAUAUAAAAAUAUAAAACUUCAUAAAAAAAUUCAAAACAAAUCAUUCACAAGAAUCUUUUGAAGAUAAUGAUUUUUUUCUAAUCUGAAUUAGAGUAAUCAUAACCCAAUGACUAACUGAUGUUUUGGAUUUUUUUAAUCUGCUAUGUUCUGUGUGUGUUGGUUGGAUUUGAGAAAGUUCAGAAUUGUUAAAGGGAAGAAUAUAUUGAAGAAAUAAAGGGUUAAACCCGGGUCUAUUAAAGACGCAGACUUAACCCCCGAGUGGGAGGUGCAGUCCACAACAGGCCCUCUCCCAGAUUUUCAUACGGACGUAUCCGCAGCCGUGGUGAGCAGAACAAUGUGACUUAGUUUCUGCAGCAGGAGGAUCGAACCCGAAAUGUAUUUGCAUCCAAGGCCCAUCCACUACCACUAGACCACAAGGCCCGCUCAGAAGGGAAUAAUAUAUACUAAUGAUAACUUGAGGGUAGCCAGUUCAUAGCACUCAAUGCACGCUAUUCCUUAGUCGCUUUUAUAAAACCAUAUAUAAUUUUAUUCUUGAUUUUUGUGAAUUUUUAUGAUUUGUUUUGAUUUUUAUGAUUUUUUAGAUUUUCUAUAUUUUAUAUUUAUUUUAUUAAUAAAAUAAUAUAAAUAUUUUUGUGAAUCUUUUAUUUUUGCAAAAUUUUAUAAUUAUUUUUAUAUUUAUUUUAUUAAUAAAAUAAUUUAAAAUAUUUUUUGUGAUUUUUUGUGAAUUUUAUUGACUUUUUAUGAUUCUUUUGAAUUUUGUUUUAUGAAUUUUUUUUUUUCCAUCUUUUAUUAAAGUGCUGGGCCGAAGUCCAAAAACACAGAAAAAACACUAAAAGCCCACAAGAUGGACAUAACAAAACAGAAACAAAUGGGCCUAAAGCCCAAUCGACCCACAAACGUAAACGCGCGUCAACCAAACAUACGUGACCAUCCACGCGUUGAGAAUCACAGUCAACGCGACACACGCGUCCGGACACCUCAUGAAGCAUGAACGCCACGUGCUGAAGAAAGCCCAAACGCAGGGACACGCGCCACCCAUCCACCACUUCUUUCCUCGCCGCCUGAACGGCACCACUUCUUUCCUCGCCGCCUGAACGGCACCGCUUCAAUUCAUCGCCGGAGACACGGCCAGAGACCUCGUAUCGCCGGAAAACACACCAGACGACUACAAGCCUUCAACGCCAAAGAUGACCACCAGCAAAGAAAAUAUCGGCGAUUAUCGAAUCAUUCAAGCGUCAAUUCCAGAGCCAAAUCAGAGAAACUCUAUUCUCCACCAUUUUCCGAUGAAACCCACCUCUAACAACUGUAUUAAAGGUAUCGGGUUUCAUCAGCUUCAUCUCUCCGACACACACCGGAUCACGUCCAGAUCAUGCGUAUAAAACGCAUACCCCUUCAACACCAUCGCCUCUUCCAGCGAUUGCCUUCCUCAUCUUCACUUCCUUUUUUCACCACCCGUUGUGUCACACCCAACAGAGAAAAGGGGCGAACCACCAAAGCCGGCGGCGCGAGGUUGAAUAAACCUCCACUCCCCGGAGUCAAACACCGACGAUGACGAUCUAUGAAAGCCUCAUCAUCCCGGAGUCUCUGGACCUCUACAAACGCGAUCCCUCCCACUCUCAAAACUAUCUCAAACCUCAUAAGAGGAAGAGGAACUGAGAGAGAAAUCUCUCUCUAGGAGAGAAUGAGAGAGAAAGCUCAUUCUUUUACUCAUUUUGUUUUAUGAAUUUUAAUAUGUUACGUUACCUUACUUGUUUCGUCGUGAAUUUUUUUUUUCCGAGCAACAAAAAGGUAGUAUACAUGUACAUGUACGUUGUUUUGAACAACACAUAUUGUUAUUUUACUUAUUUUGUCGUUAAUCUAUCGAUUCAGCUUUAUGCUAAAUGGGUCCGCUUUUUUAUACUAAAUGGGUUAUACAUGUACAUUGUUAUUUAACCUUUUGAAUAGUAUAUUUGCCAAAUGUGUAACAGAGAUAGCUUCAAAGAAAAGAAGAACAAGGAUAAAACAAGAACGGAAGAAACAUCACCAUAAAGUUUAAAAAGAAAUAUAAACCAUGACCAUGUCUUAAUAAAGUUGUAGUCGGAUGAAAUAAGUAUCAAAUACAUUGUUCAUAUAUGCCAACAUCAACCAUGUCAUAUAAUUUUUACAUAGGUGUACUGUGUAUAAAUACAAUCAUAAUAAAAAUAUAAAAUGGACAUAAAUCGCAAGGUGGGACCCAACGGGAUGGAUUGAAUUAAUAUCCAAACGUCUAUCAGAUACACGAACUAUCUUCAUGCAUGAUGCUGAGGGAUAUUGCAUUGAUGAUGUCUUUUCUCUAAUGCAUUGUAAAAUAACCAGUAAAGAUUCCACGAAAAUCAUUUAAUUUCUUCUACACUGUAAUAAUUUACUUCCACACGUAAACGAUGAUGCCUUUUCUCUCUCUAACGCACUGUAAAAUCAACUUCUCGAAAAUCAUAUAUAUUUGUUUAGUAUUCUCAGCUUUGUCCUUAUUCUUACUUAAGAAGUUCCGCUAACGUCUAGGGGCACGUGGCGACAUACAACGCGUACAGUUAUAGUGUACGGAGACCAGGUGAUGACGAGAGAAACCAGAGGUUAGUCGCAUACGUUGCUUCUCUCUCUCUAUCUCUCUCUCUGGGUUAAAGAGAUUUCUCUUCACAUUUUCGCAAAUAAAGGAAAUACAUUUUCUUAGUAGCUACAGAGCUGAAGAGAUGGAAGCAAGCAGGAAGAGAACUGAUGCACAGAAGCAGCUCGGCUCUGAGGGAUCUCAAGGAGGUAAGAUCUUUCCUUCUUUUGACGUUUUUGAAUGUGUAGUAGAAAGUCUCUGAGAUCUUCCUUCUUUGUCGUUGUUGUAAGAGAUGGAAGCAAGCAUGAUGAAAACAGAUGAGCUCUACUCUGAGGGAUCUCAAGGAGGUUAGAUCUUUCCUUCUUUUUCGUUUUUGUUUAUGUAGUAGAAAGUUCCAAAACGUUGAAGCAUAUUGAUGUUGGUAUCUGAAUGAAAUUUUAAUCUGAAUGUUUGUUGUUUUUACUGCUUUAAAAUGUUGGUUUUACGAUUGAUGUUUAUAGAACUUUAGGGAAAUGUUUAUUUUGAAUAUUGGUGGGGUUUUGAGCUCUUACAAGUUGGGUUUAUGAGAUUGAUGUUUAUAGAGCUUUAGAGAAAUGUUUAUCUUGAAUAUUGGUGGGGGUUUAGAGCUUUUAUGAGAUUGAUUUUCAUAGAGCUUUAGAAAAAUGUUUAUUUUGAAUGUCUGAUGGCUUUACAGCUUUAAAUGUUGGUUUUAUGAGAUUGAUUGAUGUUUAGAGAGCUUUAGAGAAAUGUUUAUUUUGAAUAUUGGUGAGAGUUUGAGCUUUUACUUGUUGGUUUCAUGAGAUUGAUGUUUAGAGAGCUUUAGAGAAAUGUUUAUUUUGAAUAUUGGUGGGAUUUUGAGCUUUUACCUGUUGGUUUUAAGAGAUUAGUGAUAAAAUAUUGUUAGAGGCGGAUGGUUGAAGAACACUUGGUUUCUGUUCUCAUUUUAUUUACGACUGUUAAUAGACAAAUGGCUUAUUGGAUCAUUUUUCUUUCAUACCAGACUUUGAAGAGCUUGAGAAGAUGGUCAAUCAUCUCGAGGAGGAAACUAAGAAUCUGAGAGAGAAGCUGACUCAGCGAGAACAGGUGAUGGUCGUUGUGAUGAGUGACCACGAGGUGAAACUCAGUGACCAAAAAAAGUGUUUGGAGCUGAAGGAAGAAAGCUGGAAGAUGGAAAGAAUCAACUUUGUGAAGCAACUCAGUGACCUAAGGAAGAGUAUGGAGCUGCAGGAGGAAAGCUGGGUGGUGGAGAGAAGAGACCUUAAAGAACAGUUUGAGGAGCAACUGCAUGGCCACAAGAUGAGCAUGGAGCUGAAGGAGGAAAGCUGGAAGAGGGAACUAAAACUUCUUGAAGAAAAGUUGGAGAAGCAGCUCAAUGAGCAAAACCAGAAGGAGGAAAGCUGGAAGAAGGAGGAAAGCAAGCUUCAUGAACAGUUUGAGAAACUUCUCCAAGAAAACAACACCAAUGUGGAACAGCUUGCUGUAUUGUAUACCAGCAGCUUUACAACAAGGUAAUUAAACCCUCUUUCAAAUUAGCUUGUUAUGGAGUUUUGUGAUAAACAAUUGUGCUUUCAGGAUAACCUGCUCACUGGAUCUCCACUGGAGAGAUUUCAAGGUCUGCUCCCCACUUGGAUGACUACAGCUGUUGCUCCUAAAGGAUAUAUAAGUGGAGACGAGCUUGGAGUCCUUACGGCCAAUCUGAUCUCCACCACAGCGCUGAUGGUGACUUUUGCCAACAAAGAAACCAAGAUCAUGUUUCCACUUGGAUUUAUGACCUUGUGUGGCACUGUUGUCGGCAGCGUGUUUAACAACAUCGUGACUAAGAUAUCUAUGUUAAGUAUAGUUUCAGCAAAAUUUGUUAUAAGUAGAAUUUAUUGAUAAAUUCUAUGUUUUUUUUUUUGAUUAACUUGCAGGAUCCUGAUGCAAAAGGCCUGCCAGAACUAAAUAAGUCAUUCAGUCAAGUUCCAUGGGUGUUGGCUGGAGCUGUGGUUCCACUGCUAGUGGGUGGAUUCAUAAAGGAUUGGGGAACAAGAUGUGCUGUUACUUCUGCUGCAACACUAGCUGUGCAGGUAACAUCAGUGGGAGGAUGGAAAGCUUCAUAUGGAAUCAAAUUUGGAACAGCUGCAUCGAUUGUUGGACUUGGAGUGAUUGGCAUAUUCCUUGCAGCAGGUCUUCCCUUAGUCAUUGACAUGAUAGGAAAGAAGUGAAAUCAAGAGAGUUCGUAGUUAAUGAAUGGAGUGUGGUUGAGACUCGAAGUUAUCCGGUGGAACCAAGUGAAGCUCCUCCUCAUUGGCCUUUCUUAUCUUUCAUGUUUUGUUUGUUAAAACCGUUCUGAAAAAAUUGUUAUCUUGUUUUUAGUUGCAAAUCAAUACUUUGAACUUUGAAGUGUUAACUUUCUUUUGGCAACAAUCAAUGCUCUUAUGUGAGAAUUUUUGUUUCACUUGUCUGGGAAUAAACCUAUUCACGUGGAGUGAGAAUGCUUAUUGUCUCUCGCAUCCUCCACGUGUUUAGUAUAGGUGGAAGAUGAGAUUUGAGCAUGUUGGUUCAAAACCAUUCUGGUUUAGUCUUACGUAAUGUAUGGGGGAGUGGCUAAAUAUAUUUGUUUUUCGAAACUGAGUGGCUAAAUAUUACACCGAUGUUAUAAGUUAUAACUAAUCGACAAGAAUAUUUAAAUUAUUUAAAUCACUUAAAAUUUCUUCUCAAAAACUUUUCUCUGUUUUCUCUCUUCGUACCAUUCACAGAGAAAAAGUUUCAUCACUUUAUUCCAUUCUUUUACCUUGAAUCGAAUUAUAUUUCGUUUAUAAAAUGAUAUUUUCUUUUGUAUUCUCUCCUUAUUCUCCAAUCAAUAUCUUAAGUAUUAGAAAAUAAUCCAUACGUUUGAAAAUUAUGUAUUUUUCCUAUCUUUAUUCUUUAUUAUUCUGUUUAAAAUAUUAUCAGGGAUAUGAUAGUAACUAAUCGUACCAACUUUAAAAUUUUAUCCAUAUUCCCUUUCGAAUUAAUAUUUAUGAUAAUAAGAAAUAUUGUUUAACAGUAAUUGCCAGGAAAGGUAAAUAGAUAACCACAAGAUUAUUGAUGUAAAUUUCAUGUAUUUUAACAGAGAGAAAAGAGAGACUGAUGAAGCAAAUUCCAUAAGAAAACAUAAAGAACGUAAUAAAAAUCAAGCAAAUAUUUAAAACCCACGUAUAACCAGAAAAUAAAAAGAACUUCGAACGAUAAACCCUAUUAAGAGUAAAAGUCUUAAAGCUUUUCCCUAAUUCCUAAUCACUAAAAAUAUCUUGAUUUGCAAAGGUUAUGCUUUGCCUUGAUCGUUGUCCAUCUUUCAUGCUCUUGGGUUUAGAUUCAUGCUUUGAUAUUCAGAUGCACAAUUUCUUCAUCGUUCUCUUUACAUGCCCGCAAGGAACAUUUAACACAAAUACAAGAACCGAAAAGAAAAACAAU